rnacentral:rRNA from 1 species
CUGGGACUGANACNCGGCCCAGACUCCUACGGGAGGCAUCANUGGGGAAUUUNCCGCAAUGGGCGAAAGCCNGACGGACCAAGGACCGCGUGGGGGAUNAANGCNCUNGGGUUGUNAACCCCUUUNCUCACGGAAGAANGAACUGACGGUACCUGANGANUNANCAUCGGCUUACUCCGUNCCAGCACCCGCGGUUNANACGGAGGANGCGNGCGUUAUCCGGAAUUAUUGGGCGUAAAGCGUUCGUANGUGGCUGUUCAAGUCUGCCNGUUAANAGACCGGGGCUUAACUCCGGAAAAACUGUGGAAACUGAACAGCUAGAGUAUGGUAGGGGUAAGGGGAAUUCCUGGUGUANCGGUGAAAUGCGUAGAUAUCAGGAAGAACACCGGUGGCGAANGCGCCUUACUGGGCCAUAACUGACACUGAGGGACGAAAGCUAGGGGAGCGAAAGGGAUUAGAUACCCCUGUAGUCCUACCUGUAAACAAUGGAUACUAGGUGUUGCCCGUAUCGACCCGGGCAGUGCCGUAGCUAACGCNUUAANUAUCCCGCCUGGGGAGUACGCACGCAANUGUGAAACUCAAANGAAUUGACGGGGGCCCGCACAAGCGGUGGAGUAUGUGGUUUAAUUCGAUGCAACGCGAAGAACCUUACCAGGGCUUGACAUGUCCAGAAUCUCGGGGAAAACCUGAAGANUGCCUUCGGGAGCUGGAACACAGGUGGUGNAUGGCUUGUCGUCAGCUCGUGUCGUGAGANNUGUUGGGUUAAGUCCCCCAACGAGCGCAACCUCGUCCUUAGUUGCCAUCAUUAAGUUGGGCACUUUAGGGAGACUGCCGGUGACAAACCGGAGGAAGGUGGGGAUGACGUCAAGUCAGCAUGCCCCUUACGUCCUGGGCUACACACGUACUACAAUGGGAAGGACAGAGGGUAGCAAGCGCGCGAGUGCAAGCCAAUCCCAUAAACCUUUCCUCAGUUCAGAUUGCAGGCUGCAACUC